rnacentral:lncRNA from 1 species
AGGAUGCUAAAGAUGAAGUGAGUAAGUAGUAGGAAACAAGAAUCUGCUGACAGCGUCUGAUGAUACCAUCCUGCAUGUUUCCAGGCCUCAUACAGUGGAAUCUGCUUUCAGUUUACACUCUACAAGUCACUUUGCUGCUAAAGGUGUGUGGAAGCUUCCUCUCCUAGAGUCAUAGCACACAGCAGACACUGCCACCAAUCAGAGUCAAUGCCAAUCCCACCAAAUGACUCAAUGAAGAGACACUGGAGACAGUGAGGAAGUCCCCAUGUACCUCUUGCAUCCAGCUUUUCAAACAAAACAUGAUAAACC